rnacentral:tRNA from 1 species
UGUUAAUGUAGCUUAUAAUAAAGCAAAGCACUGAAAAUGCUUAGAUGGAUUACUAUCCCAUAAACA